AGGGAUGUAGCUCAGUAGGAGAGCAUCUGCUUGGCAUGCAGAAGGCCCCAGGUUCAAUUACUAGCAUCUCCA